CUACACUGAAGGUUUGACUCACUGCCAGCGGCAAGGUUUCUUGCCAUGGGGAAGGAGGCGUUCUGACUUGUGCAUCAGGUUCGCCCCUGUGCAGCGAUUGGAGAUAAGGACAGUCGAGUCCUAUUGGAUGGUUUCAGGAUGCCCCAUAAGGAAAGACUCGAGAGCAG
rnacentral:lncRNA from 1 species